CACGUAGGGCGCAAGCGUUGUCCGGAAUUAUUGGGCGUAAAGAGCUCGUUAGGUGGUUUGUUACGUCUGCUGUGAAAACCUAGGGCUUAACCCUGGGCUUGCAGUGGAUACGGGCAGACUAGAGGUAGGUAGGGGAGAAUGGGAAUUCCUGGUGUAGCGGUGAAAUGCGCAGAUAUCAGGAGGAACACCGGUGGCGAAGGCGGUUCUCUGGGCCUUACCUGACACUGAGGAGCGAAAGCGUGGGGAGCGAACGG
rnacentral:rRNA from 1 species